rnacentral:rRNA from 1 species
GAUGAACGCUAGCGACAGGCCUAACACAUGCAAGUCGAGGGGCAGCACAGUGUAGCAAUACAUAGGUGGCGACCGGCGCACGGGUGAGUAACGCGUAUGCAACCUGCCUACAACAGGGGGAUAACCCGGAGAAAUCCGGACUAAUACCGCAUAAAACAGGGGUCCCGCAUGGGAGUAUUUGUUAAAGAUUUAUCGGUUGUAGAUGGGCAUGCGUUCCAUUAGUUAGUUGGUGAGGUAACGGCUCACCAAGACGUCGAUGGAUAGGGGAACUGAGAGGUUUGUCCCCCACACUGGAACUGAGACACGGACCAGACUCCUACGGGAGGCAGCAGUGAGGAAUAUUGGUCAAUGGGCGAGAGCCUGAACCAGCCAAGUCGCGUGAGUGAAGAAGG